UUUUCUGAAAAAUCUUCCUCCACUCUCACCAUCCGUUCUUCAUCCUUUCUGUAAGAUUUUCUAAAAAACGGUAAGACUUUCUCCUUCUUUCGUUCUUCAUCCAAUUUCCUUCUUCAUCCAUUUUGUAAAAGUUUUUCUAUUUAAGAAUCUUCUUCUUCCUUCUUUUUUCUACUUUUUUAAGUUGUAAUUAUGAUUGCAGGUUGGCUCAUCCAGGAGGACCUGUUUAAGUACUAUUUUAUUCUCCCUUCUUCAUUUGUUCUGUAAGAUUGGCUGUCAAUAAUGCUUAAAGCUACCUUCUUUCAAAGUACUCUUUUAUUCAUUUCUUUUUCUUCUCUACUUUUGAUCUGUUUAAGUUUUCAUUAAUAUGAUUUUUUUUGGAAUUUUUGCUUGAUUUUGCAUCACAGAUCUAAUCUAGUUCAUAGAAAAAUUAUUUGUGUGCUAAAAUUUGACCCUUUUUUUUAGCUAGUUUGUCAAAUGAACUCUAAUACUCUGUUUGUUUCUGGGUUUUGCAUUAUUAAGCUUUUUUUAUGCUUUAUUAAAAUGUAUGUGCUGUUUAGAAUAAAAAAAAUGUUAAGUUAAUUAUUGAUAACAGUUGUUAAGAAUGCUCAAUUUUAAGUAUGAAAUUGCUGAACUGAAUAUACUUAAAUUUGUCGAGGAGAUGGACUGCUACUGGUUGAAAUAAUGGGGAAUUAUGGGAGGUUAAAUGCCAAACUUUGGUCUCUGUCCAAAUGCUGGACUUUCAGCAUUUAAUUUCCCUAUUUAAAGAUGUUUUAAACUUGCUAAAAAUACAACAAUUGCAUAUGUUAUUUACUUAAUUAAAUAAAUGGUAGCGAGUUCUUUACAUUUUCUUCCUUGGUUGUUUUUUUGGAUCUUUAUGCUGGUAUUUGUGAUGGAAUUUUGAUGAAAUUUCUAGCUAUCGAGGGAUCUACUGAUUUAAUAUACUGCCUUAUGGUUGUUUAUUGUUGUUCAAAGCAUGAUGAAAUAAACGUGUUGGUGUUGCUUAAUAUCUUAGAAAAGAUAAGGGUUUCAUUGAUAUUGUGUUUCAAUGGUCUCUUGAAGACAUAUUCAACGAUAAUCUUUAUAUCAUCAUCAUCACCCUUGAAUCUUUGGUUUUCUUUUUUUAUUAAACCUUAUUUACGGGUUUUCUUUGCAGCUUUUGGAAUAUCCACUUUUAUGGAAGUAGAAAAUGAUUGCUCUUAUACUUAAAAAUAGCUGUAGCAGUGAACUGGAAUAAACUUUCUUUGUGUGUGUGUGUUGCCCUAGCCCAUUUCUGCAUUCUAUAUUGUGAACGUCUUGCUUUUAGUCGGUCAUUGGCAACUAGAUAAAAGUGGCAUAUAGUUACAUAAGUAGUGAAUCGUGUAUAAGACUUGUGAAAUUUUUGCUAACAAGGGAAUUAGGAACUAAUAGCAGCUAAAACACAAUAACUUGUUAUUUUCUUGCUAUAAAACUCUUUUGAAAUAUCGUCAAUCAUUUUACUCUUUCAGCAGCCUAUUAUUGCCAAAGCCAAUAUCUGCUCAUAAAAAUAAAGUAGCACUUGAUUAGCUCCCUUUUCUGUUGCCUGCAUCGUGUUCCCCAUUUAUAUAUACCAAAUUUUGACUGCAAUUCAUGAGGCCUCCAUUUCUAGUUCUUCUUCGAGGGGUUUAUAUUGAUACAAGAAAAUGACAAUAAGAAAAAAAAAUGAAGUCCAUUGAUACAAUAGCUUCUCUUGUCGUAGUUAAUUUGAACUAUAUAUAUAUGUAUGUAAUUUGUGUAAUAUAUUGUUCCAUUUUUGACUCAUUUUUCAUUGUAGGGUGGUAAUGGUUGAACCAGUUUUGUUUUUUGAUAUGUUUUAAACAAUUUAACAUUUUACUCUCCAAUCAUUGUGUUACUCUCCAAACUUUGUUUGAUUUCAAUUUAUGACGAUUAAUAUUCUAGCUUAAUAAUUGAGUAUUAUUAUAUAUUUAAUUUGAUUUAUUUAUUUAUAAAUAGAUCAUUGUAAUAUAUGUAAAAACAAUUUAAAAUAUAAAUUUAUUAAUUAAUAUAUGUAAAAACAGUUUUUUCAGAAAAUAUUUUUAGGAAAUUUGCCAAAUAACAGAAAAUAUUUUACACAGAUUCAUCCAAACACCAGAAAAGUAAACCAUUUUCAAAAAAGUAAAUCAUUUUCCGGAAAACAUUUUACUGACAAACAAACGGAGUCUUUGCAAUAUGUUAAUUUUUAUUUUAUUUAAUUUCUUGUCUAAGUUAAUGCUAAUAUUGUUUAAGAUAGAAAAUAAUUUAUUUUUAUUAAAAUAUUUAUUAUUUCAAAAUAAAUAUUAAUUUAAAUAAUUUAAAAUUAUAUUAAUUGAGUAAUUGUUAAUUAACUUUAAUGUAUUUAGUUAGUUAUAACAAUGUAAAAAGUUAGAGGACUCGAAUAGCAAUUUUAAAAAGCAGAAGUACAUAAAUAAUUUGUUAAAAAGAUGGGAAGUCGCAAUUGUAAUUAUAUCAUUUUUAAAAUAUGUAAAUAAUAAUUGUACAAAAAUAUAAAGGACUGAAUUGGUUAUUUAAAAUUGUGGGAGCCCAUUUAGAAAACGUAAAAAAUAGGAUGCCCUUACUUCUUAUUAAACCAUUUUUAUUAUACCAUUUAAACCUAAAUACUUUCAUUUCAGCAGUUCUCUCUUUUUUUUUCUAUAAAAAAAAACAUUUUUAAUCUUUCAUUUCAGGAUUUUCCUUUUCAUGCUAUAUUUUUUCAUAUUUUAUUUCAUACCUUUGUGAUAUUGAUCAAUCUCGAAAGUGUCCCCACCAUUGUUUUGGUAGUUUUGAAUUUGGCAAAGGUGUUUUUUUUUUAAAUAAAAUUUUUAUUUAAUUAAGUUCUAAGGCUUUUUUCUUUUAAACAUUAUGUUGACGGUUGUUGGGUGUGCCUCAUAUUUAUUAGAUGUUUUGCAGGCACUUAUCGGAGACAAACAUGCGACAUCACAACGAGGAGAUAUGUGACAUUGCGAUAACGUAACGAGCAAGGGACGACGUCACAACAAGGGUCGUCGGGACUAGGUGACAAUCUCUUGAGGCAAGACCAGGGGCGACGUGACGAAGAGAGUCGUGACAUCACGACGAUAUCUCCCCUAAUGUAGCCGUGUUUUAGACUCCAAGUAAGACUUUUUCUCCCAGUUGGACUCUAAUUACUUCAAGGUUAUUUUAGUAUGAUUAGACCUCUAAUCUUAGCCUAUUUAUAGGGCCUUUGCAACCCUAAUUCAGACAUGCCAAUCAAUAAAGGCUUUUCUUGAUGGCAACAUGUAACACCUUAUACCCGACCCGAUCGCUGAGUUCGGGUACCAAAUGUCACAAUUAACUUGAGUUACUUAACAACAUUUUUAAUUAAAUUUAUUUACAAACUUAAUCAAUGCCAAAUUUAAUUCGUAUUUACCAGAUAACAUUAUUCUAAUUUCUUAUAUAUCAACAUGUUUCGAAAUCUAACUUCAAAUAAACUUUCUAUAAUCACUAAUACUCUUACAAUCAUUUUGCCUUACUACGCAUGAACAAUUAUUUACAUGGACUUGAAACAUAAGACUUCAUUAUAAAAUAUGCUUAAUCAACCCCCGAUGCGUAGUCUCUAAGAGUACCCCUCUAUAGACAUGAAGCAACUAUUACGCCCUUCUUGUGAACUUGGCAGUGUUUGGCUUGGUCCCGUCCCAUAAUAACCUUGUCAGCCUUUGAUCUUGCAUCAAAGGAAACCACUCAUAAGUUCAAAUGAACUUAGUAAGAUGUCUUACAUUAAUUAUUUAUGAAUAACUCAAUGUUAUCACGAGUAUAAAGAUUUGAUGCGCGUAAGUAAACUCCCUGAAUUUCUUGUAAACCUUUAUAGUUCACUAGCACAAACGACGUCCAUAUGUUAAUACUCUUUCUAAAGCCCUUUUUUGGGGACGUGGCGUUGUCAGACUUCAUCUCAGAUUUUUAUGUUACCUAGCUGAAUUGGUGCAUCGAGAAACAACCACACCAGCAGAUAUACGAAUUGUCGACACCCUUUGGCGGACUUACAAAUACCUCACCACCAUAGCAGAUUCCUACCUUGUUCCCUUCAUUCCGUUUUGAACUCAUUAUCGACUUACUGUAUUAUCCCAACAUUUACUUUCUUAUAACUUGUGAAUAUACUCUUUCAAAUGAAAACCCGUUCUCUUACCUUCUCGUAUGAGGCCUUCGAAUAUAAGAUGAAGAAGCGAAUCAAUCAGAAUGGAGACAGGGGGGAGAGGCGAAAGAAAGAUUGUCGAGCCUGCAAGCAGCAAGCAACAACGGCUGAAAAGCCGUUGCGCGCUAGCUUAUAGUUUAGGGGUAUAGUAGGGGUGCCCCUUUCUAAAACUUAUAUUUAAUAUAAGGUAAGCUUUUUUUGGAACUUUCGUUUUGGAGUUUUCCCCAACCUAUACCUUACUAAUAUUACUAAAAAAUAGGGGCUUACGUUUUUCAGCCGCAUCGCACUUCCGCAUAAACAAUGGAUCCGCUGGGCUGGAUGAGCAACCUUCUCUGGAAAAUAAUAGUGACUUCUAUCUCGUGUAUGUAUACUUGUAAGAUGGUCCUACUAGUCCUUUCCUCAUCAAGAUAGCCUGAAUAAAUAUUUCCUUAACUAGCUAGUCAUGCUGGACUUCCCAACCAUUGUUAGUUCCCAAUGGACUACCACUUCGCUAGAUCAGAUUAGGCAAACUUCCCUUUUAUAAGUUAGUCUUUAGUGGACUUCUUAACGUUAGAUAGUCCCAGUAGACAUCCUCUUCCCUUGAUAUUCCCUAACAGACAUUCCACCUAAGAUAGUUCUUGGUGAAGUUUCCACCUUUCUAACGACCUAUUUGCCAAUAAACACUUUGGAAAUAAGAUUUGAAAGCCAUCCUGCUUUCUUAUAACUCAUGUUGGUGUGUGCAUCUCCUCUGGCAGACUCUUAAUGGCGAAUACAUAUUUGCAUAUACUUUGAGAGAAAACCGUAUUCAUCUACAUUUACAUGCAUACAAGGGGUUUCCACCUUUUCCUCUUACCUCGUAUCUUGGUGAGACAUCAUAUCAUCACGCUUAUCUGUGUUCCCAUACACACUAAAACCGUUAUGUAAGACUUUUCGCCACGUGAAUCAUACAGUGAUUUCCACUUAUAUGACCCAACGGGCUUCCCUGUUUACUACCUUGACAAAUUCCAUUCUACCAUGAGGCGUAUUUUUCCUCCACUAGAUUGUACCAUGGCUCGCCAUGGACUUUGUUGGAAACUGGCCAAGUGUGUUGAAACUCCAACAGACUUUCAACUUCGAAGAGUCAGUAAACCACUUUUGAGGUGUCACUUCGAAGAGCCUGUAGAUAACCAUCUCCAACCAAUCCUCCUUAAGUCUUCUUUCAAUUCACCCAUUCCUCCAUUACGCCAAGGUUUUCCUAUCUUCAACUACCUGACCAAUUACUUCCCUCUGUACCCUACACUUUAAAGACAAACAUAACACACAUAUCAUCACAUUCACUAUCAUAGCAGGGAGUAUGCCACAUAAUAGUUUAUAGAUAGACAACUAUGUUAUACAUUUAAAGAACAAACUUGCAAGCAUUCAUAUAUUUACGCAGCUUUAUGCAAACAUAACUUUCUCGUUCACCAAAAUCAUAUACAACCAUAGAAUUCAAACUGAACUUAGAGCAGACAUACAAGCAAAAACAUUCAAGCAGCACAACAUCUAUUCAACACUCAAAAGUAGAGUACAAAAACUGAAUCCAGUCUCAUGCAGAAGUUUCCAAAGAUUUCAUACACGUUUAACUUCUCUUUUUCUCAAAUUCACUAAUACAGUAAGAUUAAAAAGCUUACCAGUUCACCGUAUUCACUACAUUCCAGACUUAAACCUCAUGGUCAUUAUCCCAUACAGAGUUUUCCUCAACUUUCUCUUUUUCGGAGCAACCAAAGAGGACAAUGCAUAAGAGAAGAAAAUAAAACAGAAUGGAGAAGAAUUCUGCCUGUAGAAUGAUCCUUCUCGUACAUAUAUAUCCUCUUACACAUGGUUAUCAAAGCCCCCAAUAACUAAGGAACUAGCCGAUUCCAACUUAGCUAACUAGAAUUGAAAUCCAACUAUUUACCAUUCAACCACUAAAUUUUCCAUAUUCUUCAAUAGAGCCUACCAAAUCUACAAAUUCUUUCAAUUAACUCUUGAUCCUUCUUAAUUCCGGACUUUAAUAGGAAUCGGGUGUGACAUGACAAGAUGUAGUUGCAUAUAAAUUUUGGUGAGAGUUUUAAUGAGAAUUUCGUGGUAACUUUAGAGAGAAUUUUGUUCCUGAGUUAGAUUUUUGUUUUCAAGGUUUGGGUGAUGUACGUCUAGUACAUUUAAGUUUAGUUUUUCCAUAUUAUACUCUUAUCUAUUUACUCAUUUAGUGAAAAGUCAAAGCCUCCAUUGCUCGUGGUUUUUCCCUUUUUUGAGGGUUUUUCACGUAAAAUAUUUAUGUUCGUGCUUCUCCACUUUAACUAUCUUGUUGUUUAUAAGAGUCGAUCCCAACAACGGUGAUAAAUCUUAAUAAAACAUGUUUUUCUUUUUAUAAAUUGUUUGUGUAAUUAAUUAUUAUUCUUGAAUAUUGAAAAUUUAUUAGAUAUGAUAUUUUUUUAAAGAUUUUUUUAUAUUUGUUAUUUUUUCUUAUAAAAAGAGCAAGAUUUCUCGUAUAUUUUAUUCUUUCACUAAACAUCAAGUUUUAAAACAACGGUUGAUUAACCCAAGUAUCAACCACUGUACUGCAUGGACAAUAGGCAAUUUCUUUUAUAAGGCCAUUUAGUCACAAUAGGGAGAAGUUAGAAAUUUUUUAGAGGGGUAAAAAUUAAAUUAUAAUUUUUAUAAUAGUAAAAAUAUAAUUUUAUCAUUUUAAUAGUUCAUAUAUUUAUAAUUUUUAAAAGAUUAAAUCAAAUUAUAUCAUUUUUAAGGGGAUCAAAGUAUAAUUUUAUUUUUACUAUUUUUAAAUUUUUAAAUUUUUAAAUUUUUAAAAAGUAUAAAUGAAAUUUUUUUUAUAGCUAGCACCUAUAGCUACACCCCUCUUCUAUAUCUGCAUGUUUAUAAUGUAUAUAAAUAUAUGGCAUAAAUGCAUAAUGAAAUUGUGGUAAUUAAAGUUGAACUUUCCUUGUUUAAAGAUUGGAACAAAAUUGGUGGGUUUUAAUAGAUGGGUUAAUAUGAUUGGUUUAGGGCCUACCAAUCCAGGCCUAGAGUGAAGAAACGGAAGCCGUAAAGUCAGCAAUCUACGCCGCAAACCAACUGUAAUGGCGUCUUUUACGGGAUAACACCCACACCAUGAUUAAUAAAACCCACUCCCACAAGAAACAUUGGUCGGCAGUUCCGUAACACCCCAACCUCUCCCCCAUUUCACUAAAUAAUAUACAACCGACAUACAUCUACAAGUUGAAAUUGAGUUGAAUCUAGCUACUUGCAUUUGUUGGUGGGAGGUUGUCUUUUGUACAUUCACAUGUUGUUAGUACAUAACACAUGUGAAUUUGGGUCCUACUCCCAAACCAAAGAAAAAUAUAAAUGAUGCUCUUUUAGGAAUCAAGAAAUUGCAGGAUGAUUCUUAACCUGUUUUGUGAUUGCUGCACUCACUUACAUGACUUUUUACUUUUUAUGGAUAGUUGCGAUUAUAAAAAUAAAACGUUAACAAAACCCGUAAUCUUCACUGCUAAGUGCUAUGCUAUGCAGGUGGCUAAACCAGAAGCGGAAGAGUUGAGAUUAGGCAAAAAUCCAGCUUCCUUUUUCUUCUUCUUUGGGUGACAACAAGAAUCCUAUUCUGAUCAUCAUGCCAUACAUAUGAGAAGAAGUUGGCCUGGGAAUAUAUAAUAUAUAUAUAUUAGGAGUAUAUACUUAUUGUCUGUCUUUUGUUCCCUUUCCCAACACAACCAAAACCAUUCUUUUUAUCACAACACCACAUUAAUUAUAUACAUACAACAAUCAUUUUGAAUGGAGAGACAUUGAGAAAGAAUCUCUUUACUUUUGAAUGUGGUUUGGAACUGAAACCCCUUUAAAUAAUAAUCUCAAUCACCUCUCAUAGAU
rnacentral:lncRNA from 1 species